UACGUAGGGGGCAAGCGUUGUCCGGAAUUACUGGGCGUAAAGCGCGUGUAGGCGGGGCGGUUAGUCGGACGUGAAAGGCUGGGGCUCAACCCCAGAUCGCCGUUCGAAACUGCCGUUCUUGAGGGUCGAAGAGGAGAGUGGAAUUCCUGGUGUAGCGGUGAAAUGCGUAGAGAUCAGGAGGAACACCCAUGGCGAAGGCAGCUCUCUGGUCGACAUCUGACGCUGAGACGCGAAAGCGUGGGGAGCGAACGGG
rnacentral:rRNA from 1 species